GGGGGGGGGGGGGGUUAUUCGAUAUAUUCAUAUCAGGUUGUUUCCGGUCAGAAGGAAAAGUUGUAACAGAGAAGCCCAAGAACUGCAACCACAUGAAAUGCAGAGACUCAAACUUUCUGAAGAUGCAAUGAGGAGGCUUCUAACAUCCUAUAAGAUGAUGCUAGAUUUUUAUGGAAUGAAGCUAAAGAAUGAGGAGGACGGUACGAUUGUAAGAGCUUAAAACUGGAAGGAAAGAUUUGAACACCUUAACAGAUCUGAACAUAACCACUGGCGAAUAACAAGAGUUCUUAAGUGUCUUGGCGAGUUUGACUUUGAACAUUUAAAAAAGAACUUCACAAAAUUCAUUCUUAAGGAAGCGGUUCUGAAAGGAACACUACCAAAUUUGAUAGAGUGUUGCCUUAAUUACUGGAUCGCCGUAUUGAGAAUAAAGCAUGAAAGAGAAGAAAUGUACGAGUAUUACGAAAAAUUAACUAAAAGUUCAAGCUUUAAGAUGAUGUAAAAAUUGACCCAUAGCCAAGGUUUGUAACAGCAUCAACAUUAUGGCAAUGCCUAGCAACAAGACAUCCGUCCGCUGAAUCGGCUGCUUUAUCUCUACAACCUCAAAAGGGGUAAACUAGAUUCUACAAAAAUGACCUUCACGAAGACCAAAGAAACUGAAAGGGAAUUUCGAAACCAAUUUAGAAUGUUAUCAAAAGAAACUGCAAACAGGAAAGCCGAAUAUAUUAGGUAUUAUUAACGAUUGAACUCGUUUCCGAAAAAGGAAAUAAAUAAAUUGUUCAACAGUAUAACCGAAGGAACAAUAUGUUAUGUAAUGAAAUCUAAGUAAUCUAACGUUAGUUUUCAAACACUAAUUGUCGCAAAAUAAACAAAUGAUGUUUUGCGAUUGCGCACAGAGAUAAUGUUUUAACUGUUUUCGUUAAUGGUGGUGUUGCGAUUCAUGUGGUUUAGCUGCGUACUUAGCUUGUGUUUAGUUUUUAUUCUCAACACCCAUAGGCGCAGAGUAUUUGUGACUGGCUUUUGUGAGUGCAACGUAUGUCAUAAAUUACGAAAUAACAAAUAACGACUGUUUUAUCAACAUUUACAGUUUAUGCCCCAUUUGUUACAAUAAGUUUGCAGGAAAUCCUAAAUAUGAAUCUUUAAUGACUUAAACGUGGACCUUUCAAUGAAAAGGUUGACGAUACAUACCAAGACAUGGAACAUUUGAAAUGUAUCAAUUGCAUGCAAUUCACCAAACGUGCAAACAAAUUACAGAUUAUUAAUAGUUACAUUUGUUAUUUGCGCUGAACGUUUGACAAUAGUACUAAAUAUGUAAUCAAGCAGCACUUCCGGGUUUCAGAUAAUGAUGAAAAGAAAACAUCCUCAAUUUGUCCAGUUAAAGUGGUACUUUCAUGUUUUAUGUAAGCCAGUUCCUGUAUUUAUUUCAUAAUAGACUUAUACUUGACAUUUUGGUAGCAUCUUAAAGGCGAUUUUUUGCAUUUAUAAAAAUAUAAACAAACCUUAUUACACACAUUUUAGCUGUCAGUUUGGAAAAUAUUCCAUAGUGUUGACCUAUCAGACAAACACAUCACUUAGAAGAUACAUGACCCUAAUGUUAUUGUUGCCUUUUUGUAGUUUAUAGGCCAUUUAAGAACAUAAAACUAGUAUUUUUUUUUAAAUGAGCCUGGCUAUGUGUUACAGCUCUCAGAGGAUUGUUAAUUUUAUACAGAAUAUAUAGCAAAUUUAUUUAUAAACUACAUCCUUUGGGUAAUCGCGCAGUGCAGUGGGAAUUUGCUACGUAGAGAGAUUUGUCUCUAUGUCUCUCCAGCUGUGUCUCAUUGCUUUCAGAGGAUCCUUUCACAUAUUAUUAUGUGCCGUGUCACGUCUGUAAAAAGAAUCUCCGUGUUGGUAAAUUGUGUGGUCCUUUGUUAUCAUAGAGAGCAUUCAAUUUUACUAUGAUAGAUCUCCGCUUCAGCCGGUACUAGGAGGCGUGAGGGGGUUUACACAUUUCAUUACCUCUCAAGAAGAGACUCAAUUAAACAGAGUCUACUUGUAUGUUGCUUGACUGUGUUCUUUGCUUCCAAAGGAUCUUUGUAUAUAUUUAAUUGAUUGUGUUGAGCAUGUUUGAAAGAAUUAUGUCACACGUGAAGUUAGCCACAUUACUGACAAAAUAAUGCAAAGGUGAUAAAUGAUUUUUGUAAAAAGUUCAUUAUUUUUUAGAAGAUCAACCUGAAUUGUAUAUCAUUUCAGAAGAAACACAUGGCCACACAUCCAGUCAUAUAUAAUAGUUAAUUUUGGUUAAUUGUCUCUGUGAUACAUGUUAUUGAGAUGUUAUUACUAUUAUUAUAACCAUAUUUACAUGUUUUCACCAAUUGUAUAAUUUUAGACCUAAUAGUAUCAACAUUCCGUGUUUACUUGUAAAAUUGUACGACACUUUGUGUUUAUUAUUUUGAAAUAACAAGUUGCAGAGGCUAUGAUAACUAAUAAUUUUAGAUCAGUUAUUUCAAAUAAAGAAUUACCACGUC